UCCGGUUUGACACCGGCAGUCUCCCUAGAGUGCCCGGCUUUACCCGCUGGUAACUAGGGACAAGGGUUGCGCUCGUUGCGGGACUUAACCCAACAUCUCACGGCACGAGCUGACGACAGCCAUGCAGCACCUGUGUUCCCGCCAGCCGAACUGAAGAGCUCCAUCUCUAGUGCUCAUACGGGACAUGUCAAAGGCUGGUAAGGUUCUGCGCGUUGCUUCGAAUUGAACCACAUGCUCCACCGCUUGUGCGGGCCCCCGUCAAUUCCUUUGAGUUUUAGCCUUGCGGCCGUACUCCCCAGGCGGAGUGCUUAACGCGUUAGCUACGGCACCGCAGGGGUCAAUACCCGCAGCACCUAGCACUCAUCGUUUACGGCGUGGACUAC
rnacentral:misc_RNA from 1 species